UAAAGUUGUCAACGCUCUGAGUAC
rnacentral:piRNA from 1 species